GACGAACGCUGGCGGCGUGCUUAACACAUGCAAGUCGAACGGAAAGGCCCUGCUUUUGUGGGGUGCUCGAGUGGCGAACGGGUGAGUAACACGUGAGUAACCUGCCCUUGACUUUGGGAUAACUUCAGGAAACUGGGGCUAAUACCGGAUAGGAGCUCCUGCUGCAUGGUGGGGGUUGGAAAGUUUCGGCGGUUGGGGAUGGACUCGCGGCUUAUCAGCUUGUUGGUGGGGUAGUGGCUUACCGAGGCUUUGACGGGUAGCCGGCCUGAGAGGGUGACCGGCAACAUUGGGACUGAGAUACGGCCCAGACUCCUACGGGAGGCAGCAGUGGGGAAUAUUGCACAAUGGGAGGAAGCCUGAUGCAGCAACGCCGCGUGCGGGAUGACGGCCUUCGGGUUGUAAACCGAUUUCGCCUGUGACGAAGCGUGAGUGACGGUAAUGGGUAAAGAAGCACCGGCUAACUACGUG
rnacentral:rRNA from 1 species